AUUGAACGCUGGCGGCAUGCCUUACACAUGCAAGUCGAACGGUAACGGGCCUUCGGGUGCCGACGAGUGGCGAACGGGUGAGUAAUGUAUCGGAACGUACCUUUCAGUGGGGGAUAACGUAGCGAAAGUUACGCUAAUACCGCAUAUUCUGUGAGCAGGAAAGCAGGGGAUCGCAAGACCUUGCGCUGAUUGAGCGGCCGAUAUCAGAUUAGCUAGUUGGUGAGGUAAAGGCUCACCAAGGCGACGAUCUGUAGCGGGUCUGAGAGGAUGAUCCGCCACACUGGAACUGAGACACGGUCCAGACUCCUACGGGAGGCAGCAGUGGGGAAUUUUGGACAAUGGGGGCAACCCUGAUCCAGCCAUGCCGCGUGAGUGAAGAAGGCCUUCGGGUUGUAAAGCUCUUUCGGCCGGGAAGAAAUCGUAUCAGCUAAUACCUGGUGCGGAUGACGGUACCGGCAUAAGAAGCACCGGCUAACUACGUGCCAGCCGCAGCGGUAA
rnacentral:rRNA from 1 species